GAUGAACGCUAGCGGCAGGCUUAAUACAUGCAAGUCGUGGGGCAGCAUGAGUAGCAAUACUUGAUGGCGACCGGCAAACGGGUGAGGAACACGUACACAACCUUCCCUUCAAGCGGGGAAUAGCCCAGAGAAAUUUGGAUUAAUACCCCAUAAUAUAUUUGAUAAGGCAUCUUAUUAAUAUUAAAGCUUCGGCACUUGAUGAUGGGUGUGCGGCUGAUUAGAUAGUUGGCGGGGUAACGGCCCACCAAGUCUACGAUCAGUAGCUGAUGUGAGAGCAUGAUCAGCCACACGGGCACUGAGACACGGGCCCGACUCCUACGGGAGGCAGCAGUAAGGAUAUUGGACAAUGGACGAAAGUCUGAUCCAGCCAUGCCGCGUGAAGGAUUAAGGUCCU
rnacentral:rRNA from 1 species